GACGAACGCUGGCGGCGUGCUUAACACAUGCAAGUCGAACGGUAAGGCCCUUCGGGGUACACGAGCGGCGAACGGGUGAGUAACACGUGGGUGAUCUGCCCUGCACUUCGGGAUAAGCCUGGGAAACUGGGUCUAAUACCGGAUAGGACCACUGCCUGCAUGGGUGGUGGUGGAAAGCUUUUGCGGUGUGGGAUGGGCCCGCGGCCUAGCAGCUUGUUGGUGGGGUGAUGGCCUACCAAGGCGACGGCGGGUAGCCGGCCUGAGAGGGGGACCGGCCACACUGGGACUGAGAUACGGCCCAGACUCCGACGGGAGGCAGCAGGGGGGAAUAUUGCACAAGGGGCGCAAGCCUGAUGCAGCGACGCCGCGUGAGGGAUGACGGCCUUCGGGUUGUAAACCUCUUUCAGCACCGACGAAGCGCAAGUGACGGUAGGUGCAGAAGAAGGACCGGCCAACUACGUGCCAGCCGCCGCCGUAA
rnacentral:rRNA from 1 species